rnacentral:tRNA from 1 species
GAGGGUACAGCUCAGUGGUAGAGCACGUGCUCAGCAUGCAGGAAGUCCUGGGUUCAAUCCCCAGUACCUCCA